CCUACGGGGGGCAGCAGUGGGGAAUAUUGCACAAUGGGGGAAACCCUGAUGCAGCGACGCCGCGUGAGUGAAGAAGUAUUUCGGUACGUAAAGCUCUAUCAGCAGGGAAGAAAAUGACGGUACCUGACUAAGAAGCCCCGGCUAACGACGUGCCAGCAGCCGCGGGAAUACGAAGGGGGCAAGCGUUAUCCGGAUUUACUGGGUGUAUAGGGAGCGUAGACGGCAGCGCAAGUCUGAAGUGAAAUCCCAUGGCUUAACCAUGGAACUGCUUUGGAAACUGUGCAGCUGGAGUGCAGGAGAGUUCAGCUGAAUUCCUAGUGUAGCGGUGACAUGCGUAGAUAUUAGGCGGAACCCCAGUGGCGAAGGCGGCUUACUGGACUGUAACUGACGUUGCGGCUCGAAAGCGUGGGGAGCAAACAGGAUUAGAUACCCCUGUAGUC
rnacentral:rRNA from 1 species